rnacentral:lncRNA from 1 species
GAAAAGGUAGACAAUCAGGAGGAAAUGCACUCUUGAUUUCCCUUCGGGAAUAAAUACUAAUCUUGUUUUUCUUGUUCCUUACAGGAGAGAGAGUUAUGUUUUCUUUUCUUCUUUAAGGUAAGGGUGAAAGUUGAUAUGAUUAUAGAGAAUCAGUCCCUCACGACUGGGGGGCUAUUCACAAUCAUUCUUAUCUUUCCAUCACCGAGGUAGACAAUCUCUUCUUGUUCCUUAAAUGAUAAGGAUCUCGAGAAUGCUUUUAAGUCAAGUAACUAUCUUAAGCCGAAGGCCAAUAUCUCAAAGUGCUUACAACCUGGUAAUCGUUUACUUCUUCUCUUUUGUUGAGGAAAUAGUGCACUGCCUUGGAGAGGUAGUGUGCUAUUGACGAUCUUAAAGUAUUGGUGAGUUAUAUCACCGACAGGGAGCUAAUUUCACUUGCUGUUACUUUGCAGAGGAGAAAAGAAUCUUUUGUUCUUUGUAGUUCUUUUCUUGAGUUAGAGCUAGAGUUGUUUAUGCAGCGGCUAUUCAUUUGAAUCGGGAAUUCAAAUUAACAUAUAGAAAGGAAGUGCAUGGCUUGGUCUAGUCCCAUCCGGAUUCGAUCCUCGAG